UACGUAGGCAGCAAGCGUUGUUCGGAAUUACUGGGCGUAAAGAGUGUGUAGGCGGUGUUCUAAGUUUGGUGUGAAAUCUCCCGGCUCAACUGGGAGGUUGCGCCGAAAACUGGAAUGCUAGAGUAUGGGAGAGGUAAGCGGAAUUCCUGGUGUAGCGGUGAAAUGCGUAGAUAUCAGGAGGAACACCUGUGGUGUAGACAGCUUACUGGACCAUCACUGACGCUGAGACACGAAAGCGUGGGUAGCAAACAGG
rnacentral:rRNA from 1 species